rnacentral:rRNA from 1 species
GACGAACGCUGGCGGCGCGCUUAACACAUGCAAGUCGAGCGAGAACCGGUCCUUCGGGACCGGGGAAAGCGGCGAACGGGUGAGUAACACGUGAGUAAUCCACCCUCGGUACCGGGAUAGCCCGGGGAAACCCGGAUUAAUACCGGAUGGCCCAUCCGCUCUUCGGAGCGGCUGGAAAAGGUAGCUUCGGCCUCCGACCGAGGACGAGCUCGCGGCGGAUUAGCUUGUUGGCGGGGUAACGGCCCACCAAGGCGACGAUCCGUAGCUGGUCUGAGAGGACGAUCAGCCACACUGGGACUGAGACACGGCCCAGACUCCUACGGGAGGCAGCAGUGGGGAAUCUUGCGCAAUGGGCGAAAGCCUGACGCAGCGACGCCGCGUGCGGGAAGAAGGCCUUCGGGUUGUAAACCGCUUUCAGAAGGGACGAAGCUACUCGGGUUAACAGCCCAGAGGGUGACGGUACCUCCAGAAGAAGCCCCGGCUAACUACGUGCCAGCCGCCGCAGUAAAAC